rnacentral:rRNA from 1 species
UUGCACAAUGGGCGCAAGCCUGAUGCAGCUAUGUCGCGUGUAUGAAGAAGACCUUAGGGUUGUAAAGUACUUUCAAUAGCAUAAGAAGGUAAUGAAACUAAUAAUUUUGUUAUCAGACGUUAGCUAUAAAAGAAGCACCGGCUAACUCCGUGCCAGCAGCCGCGGUAAUACGGAGGGUGCUAGCGUUAAUCGGAAUUACUGGGCGUAAAGAGCACUUAGGUGGUUUAUUAAGUCAAGUGUGAAAUCCCUAGACUUAAUCUAGGAACUGCAUUUGAAACUAAUAGACUAGAGUUUCGUAGAGGGAGGUAGAAUUCUAGGUGUAGCGGUGAAAUGCAUAGAUAUCUAGAGGAAUAUCAGUGGCGAAGGCGACCUCCUGGACGAUAACUGACGCUAAAAUGCGAAAGCAUGGGUAGCAAACAGGAUUAGAUACCCUGGUAGUCCAUGCUGUAAACGAUGUCGACUAAGAAGUUGAAAGCUUUGACUUAUAAUUUCUGUAGCUAACGCGUUAAGUCGACCGCCUGGGGAGUACGGCCGCAAGGCUAAAACUCAAAUGAAUUGACGGGGGCCUGCACAAGCGGUGGAGCAUGUGGUUUAAUUCGAUGCAACGCGUAAAACCUUACCUGGUCUUGACAUCCACAGAAUUUUAUAGAAAUAUAAAAGUGCAAUUUGAACUGUGAGACAGGUGCUGCAUGGCUGUCGUCAGCUCGUGUUGUGAAAUGUUGGGUUAAGUCCCGCAACGAGCGCAACCCUUGUUUUUUGUUACCAUCAGAUAAAGCUGGGGACUCAAAAGAAACUGCCAGUUAUAAACUGGAGGAAGGUGGGGACGACGUCAAGUCAUCAUGGCCCUUACGACCAGGGCUACACACGUGCUACAAUGGCGUAUACAAAGAGAUGCAAUAUUGUAAAAUAAAGCUAAUCUAUAAAAUACGUCUUAGUUCGGACUGGAGUCUGCAACUCGACUCCACGAAGUCGGAAUCGCUAGUAAUCGUGGAUCAGCAUGCCACGGUGAAUAUGUUUCCAGGCCUUGUACACACCGCCCGUCACACCAUGGAAGUGGGUUGCAAAAGAAGUAGAUUAAUUUAACCUUCUUAACAAGAAAAUAGUUUACCACUUUGUGAUUCAUGACU